rnacentral:lncRNA from 1 species
CGUGAUCAACAGCUCUAAACCCAAGAACGUACACUACGUAUGGAAAAUACUCUUAAGAAUUGAAGGAAAUUCCAUGAACAAGAAGAAGGAGACAUGGCCUUUACGGGGAGGGAAUCUCAAUCUGUCUCUCUCUGUGUUGCUGUAAGCUUUGCCUGGAUCAAACAAAGAGACGAGAGGUGACAAACUUUUAAAUAGAGAGAGAGAGUUGGAUCAAUCAAGGUCGCACACGAGCUUGAAGCUUUGGAAUCGGCUCUUUCGAUGGUUGAGCUCGCUGCACCAGUUGUAGCUCGUCGUCUGGUCGAACACGGCGAGGACGGAAGCCGAAGGACAGCCCCUGCCCUGAUAGACGACGAGGGUCUCGUUCUCUGAUCUGGGGACGAACUCGAGGCCAUACAUGUCCACGUCCUGGCAAGUGUUGCACAGGAUGUCCGCCUGCUGGAUCACCUCGAUCAGGCCGCAGGUUAGCUGCACGCCCACGCUGCAGUGGCACGGCGUCGGGAUCGAGCUGCUCGCAAACACAAUCACGAUGAUCAUCGCCAUCAAGUUACGAAUCAUCGUUAAUUUCUCCUCGAGGGAAAGAACACUUUAGCUCCGUUUUAUUUCUCUCCACGCAUGCCACCACGCAUUGCAC